AAAAGAGACAACGUCAUUAAUUAAAAUCCUGAUUUGAUGAGAUCAAAAUUGGAUGAGCUUGUAAUGUUAUGUGCAUUCAUUCUUUCAAUCACCUGCCCAACGAUCCACUCUCUAGGGUUCCAGCACAGCUGCUUUGAGUGAGUUCAAUUAACUCCUUACUACUUUAAAAAGGAGUCAUCAAUAGAGCGCCAAUUCAUUGAUUCACUAUGGCAAACAGCGAAUGCAGACAGUCAUCAUAUUUCACGCACCUGGAACUGGAGAUACUCUUAAAAGCAACACAGCUGCCUCUGCAAAGGCAAGACAGGAAUCAUGGGAGUCGAUUGCUACCCGAGUCAAUGCCUUGUCUACAGCAUGGUGACAAUGACUAUAGUGAUGCUGACUAUGGUGCUGGUUGUGUUCGUCUUGAUGAGGACACUGUCAGAGACGACACUUCAGGGCCUACAGAUGUAUCAACCUCGUUUGUCUUGCAUCUCUGUGAGAAUUUGACAGGUUGAAAUGUAUAGAGGUGAUGUAACAAAGGCCACUGAAUUUUAAAGAGCUAUUUUUUUUUUUUUUUUAUAGAGCAUGCCAGGACCAGCCAUCAAUGAGCACAACACAUAUGAAGACUUUGAGAUGUUAUUUAUGUUCCUGGUUCUAAUUAUACAAUGCAAGUACAAUGUCACUGUAAAGUGAAUACCAUCCCUGUUUUCCCCCAGUUACCUGUAAAGGACUUGUUUAAAGAGCACUUUUUUGAAGCAGAAAGAGAAACCAAUCUGUUAAAGAUUAUUAUAAAAAAAAAAAAAAACAUUUGGAAAUUCAUGUACUGCAACACCA
ensembl:lncRNA